AUUUGGAGUCUGCUGGCUCUGCUGUGAGGUGGAAGGGACAGGAGCUUGUCCAGGGGACAGAAGGGAUAAGCUGCCAUUCUAGAGACAGAUAGGGUUAGGUGGCUGUGCUAGGGACAGGAAGAAGUGAGUUGGAACUGCAGAAAGAAAAGAGAAGAAGAAGGAGAGAAAGAGCUAGAGCUGUGUGGAGCUGCCCAUGGGAGGCUACAUAGAAGAGGUAUGAAAGGCUUCUAGGUAACAAGGUGCUGAUGCUUGAAGCCUUCUGAAGUUUUACUAAAACACUCUGAAUGUUGUUUCCAUCUUUACAAGAACAACUUCUUUCACUGCAAGUGUUGCUCCUGGACUUAAAAUGAACCUGACACUUGACAAGAGGCAAAGCAAUGGACUUUGAUUAUCUGUGCCUGCUUGAGAAGCCUCCACAUCCAAAGACACAGUUUUUGCAUAAAAGGAGCUGCCACUGGGAAGAGAAUGGAAUAAGACAGCAGGAGCACAACCAGAUCUCCCCUCCCUCAGUGGACAGAUUUCUGUAUGGUGGCAGGUUUGAAAUGCCCCAACAGGGCUGGCCGUCACUCAGAGCACCAGCUGCCUCCUCCUAAGCACAUAAACAAUCAUAACACUGCCACUCUUAGUGACAACUUGGCAAGAAGAGCUUGGUGGAGGAUGAGCGAGGCUGAAUUGUCCUGUUUGCUCACAACCCAUCCACAGCCUCCUGCCUGCCCUGCUUGAGGUGCUCAUCGAGGGAGGGGAUAUUUGCCCCCCUGUCCUGCUCUGCUGAGACCCCACCUGCCGUGCUGCUUCUAGCAUGGGAAGGACACUGACUUGGAGUGAAUCCAGAGGAGGGAUCCAGGAUGAUUAUAGGGAUCAUGGAGCACCUCUCCUUUAUAGAAGGGCUGGGAGAAUUUGGAUUACUCAGCCUGGAAAAAGAUAAAGUUUUGGGAUAACCUGAUUGUGGUCUUGCAGUACUUGAAGGGAGCCUACAAUAAAGGUGGAGAGGGACUUUUUACAAUGGCCUGGAGUGACACAAAAAGAGGACAUUACUUCCAGCUGGAAAGGAGUAUGUUUAGAUUAGGUAUUAGGAAGAAAUUCUUUACUGUGAGGGUGGUGAGUCACUGGCACAGGUUCUCCAGAGAAGCUGUGGAUGCUCUGUCCCUGGAAGUGUCCAAGGCCAGACUGGAUGAGACUCUGAGCAACCUGGUCUGGUGGAAGGUGUCCCUGCCCAUGACAACAGGGCUGGAACUGGAUGAUCUUUAAGGUCCUGUCCAACCAAAACCAUUCUGAGAUUCUGUGCUGGAGUAUGGAACAUCAUGAGGGAGAAGCCCAUAACUUUGGCCUAGGAUGUGAAGUUUAAUCAUUUGAUGGAGGAUGGGAAAGAUAUGAAGACCCCCAACACACAAAGGCUUUUAUGGCAGAAAGUAUUUUCUGACUGAACUCCAUGUGCACAGCCUGCUUUUACGAUGUGCAUUUUGUAGGGACACAAGUGUUUUCUAACAAAACACCACUGCCUUCUGGACUGGGAGUUACUGUGGUUCUCCAGGAGACUUAGGCAGGAUCUUUUUCUCCUCUUGAGGAGAAAUUGUGGUAAAAAUAUGCACUGUAAGGGAGGCCUAGAGGCAUGUUGACUUCAGAUGGAGGCAUUUUUUCAAGACUUAGCAGGAUCUGCUUUUCUGCUGUGUACAUGCAUCUAUAUACACUUAGGAAAUAUGAUCACAAUAUACGUUAAAGAUAAGAUCCAGUUGAUUAGCUCUGACUGGUUAAUGAGUGCCUACAAUGGCAAACAUCAAAGUCCAAUGGAAAGGACUGUUAUAUUUGAAAGACAUCGAUGCUAUCGUUAAGUCCAGGUUAAGAACAAUAAGGUGCUGAAGAAACCGUCACACUUUCUGCUUCAGCUUCCCAAAUAAAAUUAGGCAACUUGUGCUGGGUGAUCAGACCCAGGAAAUAGCCAGGUGCUUUGAAUGUUGCCUGACCCCAUGGCCUUCACAUCAGAUCAGCUCUGUGAUCCUGAUUUCUAUCAAAGGAUUCCUUUGGUAAAAGCUGUGGUAUUGUGGUAUUUCUGGAGAUCUAAAAAGGUGACGUGGAUUCACAGAAACCCUCCGUGACAGCUUUAUUACAGGCCUGAUCACCCACCUCUGCCCCAAAAGACCUCGC